rnacentral:rRNA from 1 species
AUUGAACGCUGGCGGCAGGCCUAACACAUGCAAGUCGAGCGGAAACGAGUUAUCUGAACCUUCGGGGACGAUAACGGCGUCGAGCGGCGGACGGGUGAGUAAUGCCUAGGAAAUUGCCCUGAUGUGGGGGAUAACCAUUGGAAACGAUGGCUAAUACCGCAUAAUGCCUACGGGCCAAAGAGGGGGACCUUCGGGCCUCUCGCGUCAGGAUAUGCCUAGGUGGGAUUAGCUAGUUGGUGAGGUAAUGGCUCACCAAGGCGACGAUCCCUAGCUGGUCUGAGAGGAUGAUCAGCCACACUGGAACUGAGACACGGUCCAGACUCCUACGGGAGGCAGCAGUGGGGAAUAUUGCACAAUGGGCGCAAGCCUGAUGCAGCCAUGCCGCGUGUGUGAAGAAGGCCUUCGGGUUGUAAAGCACUUUCAGUCGUGAGGAAGGUAGUGUAGUUAAUAGCUGCAUUAUUGACGUUAGCGACAGAAGAAGCACCGGCUAACUCCGUGCCAGCAGCCGCGGUAAUACGGAGGGUGCGAGCGUUAAUCGGAAUUACUGGGCGUAAAGCGCAUGCAGGUGGUUUGUUAAGUCAGAUGUGAAAGCCCGGGGCUCAACCUCGGAAUAGCAUUUGAAACUGGCAGACUAGAGUACUGUAGAGGGGGGUAGAAUUUCAGGUGUAGCGGUGAAAUGCGUAGAGAUCUGAAGGAAUACCGGUGGCGAAGGCGGCCCCCUGGACAGAUACUGACACUCAGAUGCGAAAGCGUGGGGAGCAAACAGGAUUAGAUACCCUGGUAGUCCACGCCGUAAACGAUGUCUACUUGGAGGUUGUGGCCUUGAGCCGUGGCUUUCGGAGCUAACGCGUUAAGUAGACCGCCUGGGGAGUACGGUCGCAAGAUUAAAACUCAAAUGAAUUGACGGGGGCCCGCACAAGCGGUGGAGCAUGUGGUUUAAUUCGAUGCAACGCGAAGAACCUUACCUACUCUUGACAUCCAGAGAAUUUUCCAGAGAUGGAUUAGUGCCUUCGGGAACUCUGAGACAGGUGCUGCAUGGCUGUCGUCAGCUCGUGUUGUGAAAUGUUGGGUUAAGUCCCGCAACGAGCGCAACCCUUAUCCUUGUUUGCCAGCGAGUAAUGUCGGGAACUCCAGGGAGACUGCCGGUGAUAAACCGGAGGAAGGUGGGGACGACGUCAAGUCAUCAUGGCCCUUACGAGUAGGGCUACACACGUGCUACAAUGGCGCAUACAGAGGGCAGCAAGCUAGCGAUAGUGAGCGAAUCCCAAAAAGUGCGUCGUAGUCCGGAUUGGAGUCUGCAACUCGACUCCAUGAAGUCGGAAUCGCUAGUAAUCGUGGAUCAGAAUGCCACGGUGAAUACGUUCCCGGGCCUUGUACACACCGCCCGUCACACCAUGGGAGUGGGCUGCAAAAGAAGUAGGUAGUUUAACCUUCGGGAGGACGCUUACCACUUUGUGGUUCAUGACUGGGGUG